AUACGGAGGGUGCAAGCGUUAUUCGGAAUCACUGGGCGUAAAGGACACGUAGGCGGGUUGGCAAGUCAGAUGUGAAAUCCUACAGCUUAACUGUAGAACUGCAUUUGAAACUGCUAACCUAGAGUAUGGGAGGGGGAGAUGGAAUUAGUGGUGUAGGGGUAAAAUCUGUAGAUAUCACUAGGAAUACCGAAAGCGAAGGCGAUCUCCUGGAACAUAACUGACGCUAAGGCGUGAAAGCGUGGGGAGCAAACAGGAUUAGAAACCCUAGUAGUCC
rnacentral:rRNA from 1 species